rnacentral:rRNA from 1 species
AUGCCGCCGGCGACGGCGCUGAUGGACGAUGUGGUCGUGGAGAUCCUGCUCCGCCUCCCGCCCGACGAGCCCGGGUGCCUCGUCCGUGCCUGCCUCGUCUCCAAGCCCUGGCGCCGCCUCCUCACGGGUAACGCCUUCCUCCGCAGCUACCGCAAGUUCCACGCGGCACCGCCCAUGCUGGGAUUCCUCCACCGCCUCUACGACGAGGAUCCCUGCGUCGCCCGAUUCGUCCCCACCGCGAAGUCCUUCCGCCCGCCACGCAACCGCCGCUGCUGGUACGCACUCGAUGCCCGCCACGGCCGAGCCCUCUUCUACGAUUCAGAAUCAGAACAGAAGCCCGCUGAGUUCGUCGUCUGGGACCCCGUCACGGACGGGCACCGGAGGAUUCCCCUUCCCGAGACCCCCAAAUCCUGGAACGCGGCGGUGCUCUGCGCCGUGGAUGGCUGCGACCACCUCGACUGCCAUGGCGACGACCCCUUCCUCGUGGCAUUCGUGGGUGUUCGACAGGAGGAGGGGAUCUGGAUCACGUCCGCGUGCUUCUACUCGUCGGAGGCGAGUUCAUGGAGCAGCACGAGCUUUGUUGAGCAUCCGGAUGCUUCCAUCGAGAUGCAGCCAAGCGCCCUCUCUGGAAAUGCAGUCUACUUCCUCUGCGAUCCAAGCACGCGAAUUCUGCAAUGCGACUUUGUUGGCGAGAGGAAGCUAUCGGUGAUUGACCGGCCGGACGUGCAUGAGAAUAACGUCGUCCUCAUAACAGCGGAGGACGGCACACUGGGAUUUGCUGGCGUGCAGGAAUCCAGCAUCUACCUCUGA